rnacentral:rRNA from 1 species
CAUGUCUUUAAGAUUAUAAUUUAAAGUCAAAUYUGCUCCAUGAUAAAAUUAAAUAGCUGCAGUAUUUUGACUGUACAAAGGUAGCAUAAUCAAUAGUUUUUUAAUUAAAAGCUGGAAUGAAGGAUUUAAUAAGGUAAAUAUUGUCUCAAUUUUAAUAAAAUUAAAAUUUUUUUUUUUAGUAAAAAUACUAAAUUGAAUUUAAAAGACGAGAAGACCCUAUAGAUUUUUAUAUUUUUAAAUUUAAUUAAUUUAAAUUAAAAUUUUAUUUAAAUAUAAAAAUAUUUGGUUGGGGUAAUUAUUAAAUUAAUUAAAUUUUAAUUGUUUUAAAACAAUAAUUAUUGAAUUUAUGAACUUGAAUUUUUGAAUUAUUAGAAUAAAUUACCUUAGGGAUAACAGCGUAAUUUUUUUUGAGAGAUCAUAUUGAUAAAAAAGUUUGCGACCUCGAUGUUGAAUUAAGAUAAAAUUUUAAUGGAGAAGUUAAAAAUUUUUGGUCUGUUCRACCAUUAAAAUCUUACGUG